CUGAGUUGAUAUCGAUUGCGCGCAUCACGCGAAAACACACUUUUGAGAGUCCUCGAUUAUGUCACAUUAUGUGCUAUAGUGCUGUAAUUAGAAAACUACCAUAGUGUCUUAUUUUGUAAAAUCAAUUUAUUUAUAAUGCAACACUGGCCCACAGAUAUUAACUAGCAACAUCUUUACUUUUCUUUCAUCGGUCUUUGAUUGUCAAAUUCCGACAAAAUGACGAAAGGUACAUCAAGCUUCGGUAAACGCCGAAAUAAGACACAUACACUGUGCAGAAGAUGUGGAAGAUCUUCAUAUCAUAUCCAAAAAUCGAAAUGUGCUCAAUGUGGUUAUCCUGCAGCUAAAUUGAGAUCUUACCACUGGUCAGUAAAGGCUAAACGCAGGAAGACUACAGGAACAGGCCGCAUGCGUCAUCUUAAAAUUGUUAGAAGGCGUUUCCGCAACGGUUUCAAGGAAGGAAAACCUACACCUAAGAAAGCUGUUGCAUCUUCGUAGACUUAUUGCUUAAUGUCAAUAAAAAAAUAUUAAAACAGUCUUUUAUAUUUUAUUUAUUAAAAAAUGAUCAUUAUUACAUCAGUAGCACACAUAGAUUCAGCCUUUUACAUCCCAUUGCUGGGUAUAGGCCUCUUUCUCCAUGUAGGAGAAGGAUUAAACCCAUUUCACUGCUCCACUGUGAAUUGGCAGAUAUUUUCCCUGCUAUGAGUAAUGAUUGUUAUCGGGUAUUUUUGAUAACAAUGAGGACGGACUGCUUAAUGUGCUCUCUGGAGGCACAGUGGGGAGACCCACAAGGACAGACAUCCAAACUGAACAGAAGCAUCUGUAGAUAUAAAUAUCCAUCCUCAACCUGUUAACUGUCUCUGUUGACUCAUCAAGUCCUAUAUCCCCUGAAUGGGGCAAAGGGCG
rnacentral:misc_RNA from 1 species